GUGCUCACAUCAGCAGUGCACAUAUUAACAUAGGAAAGAUACAGAGAAAAUUAGCAUGGCAUUGUAUAGAGGUGAAUUGCACAUUUGCAAAGCAUGUCAUAUUUUU